GACGAACGCUGGCGGCGUGCCUAAUACAUGCAAGUAGAGCGCUGAAGGAGGAGCUUGCUCUUCUGGAUGAGUUGCGAACGGGUGAGUAACGCGUAGGUAACCUGCCUGGUAGCGGGGGAUAACUAUUGGAAACGAUAGCUAAUACCGCAUAAAAUUGAUUAUUGCAUGAUAGUCAAUUAAAAGGUGCAAUUGCAUCACUACCAGAUGGACCUGCGUUGUAUUAGCUAGUUGGUGAGGUAACGGCUCACCAAGGCAACGAUACAUAGCCGACCUGAGAGGGGGCUCGGCCCCCCUGGGACUGGGACACGGCCCAGACUCCUACGGGAGGCAGCAGUAGGGAAUCUUCGGCAAUGGACGGAAGUCUGACCGAGCAACGCCGCGUGAGUGAAGAAGGUUUUCGGAUCGUAAAGCUCUGUUGUAAGAGAAGAACGAGUGUGAGAGUGGAAAGUUCACACUGUGACGGUAUCUUACCAGAAAGGGACGGCUAACUACGUG
rnacentral:rRNA from 1 species